CCCGGUGACUAUAGGUGUCUGGCCAUACCCGUUCCCAUUCCGAACACGGUCGUCAAGCAGGUGCCGCCGAUGAUAGUGCUUAUGCGCGAAAGUAGGUGAUUGCCGGGG
rnacentral:rRNA from 1 species